rnacentral:rRNA from 1 species
GACAGAGGGUGCAAACGUUGCUCGGAAUUACUGGGCGUAAAGCGCGUGUAGGCGGGCCAUCAAGUCGGACGUGAAAUCCCUGAGCUCAACUCAGGAACUGCAUCCGAAACUGGUGGCCUGGAGUGGUGGAGAGGGAAGCAGAAUUCCUGGUGUAGAGGUGAAAUUCGUAGAUAUCAGGAGGAACACCGGUGGCGAAGGCGGCUUCCUGGACACUUACUGACGCUGA